CUGGCGGCGUGGAUAAGACAUGCAAGUCGGACNCUAAUCACUGGGUAGCAAUAUCUGGUGGUUGGAGUGGCGUAAGGGUGCUUAACACGUGGGUAAUUUGCCGUGAAGCCUGGAAUAACCUGCCGAAAGGUANGCUAAUACCGGAUGAUGACCUUUGGGUGGCAUCACCUGAAUUUGAAAGCUGGGGACCGCAAGGNCUGGCNCUUCACGAUNAGCCCGCGGCCUAUCAGCUAGUUGGUGAGGUAACGGCUCACCAAGGCUNNGACGGGUAGCUGGUCUGAGAGGACGACCAGCCACACUGGAACUGAGACACGGUCCAGACACCUACGGGUGGCAGCAGUCGAGAAUUUUUCUCAAUGGGCGAAAGCCUGAAGGAGCGACGCCGCGUGGGGGAUGAAUGGCUUCGGCCCGUAAACCCCUGUCAUUCGGGAUCAAACGUUGUCNGUAAACAACUGGCAGCCUGAUUGUACCGGAAGAGGAAGGGACGGCUAACUCUGUGCCAGCAGCCGCGGUAAUACAGAGGUCCCAAGCGUUGUUCGGAUUCACUGGGCGUAAAGGGUGCGUAGGCGGUAGGGUAAGUUUGAGGUGAAAGCUCCGGGCUCAACCCGGAAAUGGCCUUGAAUACUAUCCUGCUAGAGGAUCGGAGGGGAGACUGGAAUUCUCGGUGUAGCAGUGAAAUGCGUAGAUCUCGAGAGGAACACCAGUGGCGAAGGCGAGUCUCUGGACGAUNCCUGACGCUGAGGCACGAAAGCCAGGGGAGCAAACGGGAUUAGAUACCCCGGUAGUC
rnacentral:rRNA from 1 species